rnacentral:rRNA from 1 species
UAGGGAAUUUUCCACAAUGGACGAAAGUCUGAUGGAGCAACGCCGCGUGCAGGAUGAAGGCCUUCGGGUCGUAAACUGCUUUUAUGGGUGAAGAAUAAGACAGUAGCCCAAGAAUAAGGGACGGCUAACUACGUGCCAGCAGCCGCGGUCAUACGUAGGUCCCAAGCGUUAUCCGGAAUUACUGGGCGUAAAGAGUUGUGUAGGUGGUGUACUAAGUUGGUAGUGAAAGCGUGCGGCUCAACCGCAUAUCCAUUGUCAAAACUGGUAGACUAGAGGGCGAGAGAGGUUAUUGGAAUUUCUAGUGUAGGAGUGAAAUCCGUAGAUAUUAGAAGGAACACCGAUGGCGUAGGCAGAUAACUGGCUCGCACCUGACACUCAGACACGAAAGCGUGGGGAGCGAACGGGAUUAGAUACCCAAGUAGUCCCUGAGCGGGCUGGCAAGGCGCAU